AUUUCCAAAUAAGGUCACAUCCUGAGGCACCGGGAGUCAGAACUUCAUGGUCUUUUCUUCAGGGGACACAAUUUAACCCAUUACAGGCAUUCUCUGUCCCGUGGCCAGAGAAGUGCUUGAGCCCUGCCUGAGGAAGCACCACCGCUGUUACCUUUGGCUUCAUUGUCACUGCUAGUAAAUGACAAAAGGAGAGAAGCCACGUCUGCAUCUGCCCUUUUAUGUCGCCGCCCCACACGCCUGCUCACCCACCUGGCGGAUGGUGGGCACAGGCGUCUCCAGGGAGAGAUAGUGUCUCUGAAUACUUUGUCCCCAGAUGAGAAGUCAUCCAGCAAGAUCAGGAGGAGGAAAGUGGUGCUGCAGCUUGGCAGGCUAGCCCGGUGCCCGCUUCCACACUGCCAGUGCGCCCUCGGUUCCACGUCUGCAGACGUGAGGAGGAAAGCUGCAUACGCACCCCUCACACGCUGUCCUGACCCAGACUGGUUUCCAGACGCCAGCACCCACGGCACCCUGGACAGAGAGCCUGAGAGUGGAGCGCUGGCAUUUCAAAGAGCCUCACCUCACUGCGUAGGAGGCUGCACACUUUCACAGGAACUCAAGACUGGAAGAAUAAUGCAAUUAAGAAAAAGAAAUGCACAGUAAUGGGGAAAAAAAGGAAAAUACAAAACAAAACUUAGGGACAUGUUGGAGGCUUUCACCACCCUGUUAACUGCAAAUACGAAAUAUUUCCUACUUAGCAAUGCAGGGAGGUCAACUUUGUCCUCCCCUCCUUGACCCUUCUCUCCUCCCUCACUGUUUGAAGCUUAUACAAAAGUACAGAAAAUCACACAAGACACAACCAGCUCUGGCUUUAUCACAUCUGGAUAUUUUACUACAAUUUUUUGGGAAGAUUUCUCUUUCCUUAUUUCUUUUUGGAAAGAAAUAGAACAGGUACCUUCCUAGCCCCCCGUAUGGCCUUCACAAUUUUGUUCUCUUCCUCCCAGAGGCCUCUCUCCUGGAAGGGGGAGAUUCUCGAUCCCUGGCAUGGUAGCUAUGUAUGUUCUUUAUUAUUUCCAUAAGUGAUGUAACAAACGUUUGUGUUGAUACAUUUUUAUAAAUGGGAUCGUUCCAUGUU